GGUCCCAUAGUAUAGGUGGUUAGUACAUCAGGUUCUGAUCCUGAAAACAUCGGUUCGAGUCCGGUUGGGACCU
rfam:Thecamonas trahens ATCC 50062 unplaced genomic scaffold supercont1.23, whole genome shotgun sequence.